UGGGGAGAUAGGAAUGCUAGAGUGCAUAAGGAGGUUAGCAAAUUUGGAAAAAAAAAUAGUGAGUUUCAUUAAUAGCUACAUAUCAGAGCUAAAUGAGAUUGAUAAAAGAAACCCACAAAUUUCUCUAGCUGUUAGUAAAUGGGAGACAGCCACCUGAUCAGGUUGUGAAGAUUAAUUUUGAUGCAGCAUACGAUGGGAGACUUUGCUAACCGGCAGUGGGGAUCGUGGCCAGAGAUAGUGAGGGCAAUGUUCUUUUAUCAUGCUUAGAGAUCCAUCAACGAGUCGUAUCAGCUUUUGCGGCUGAGGCACUCGCGUGCCGAAAAGCGAUCCAGAUCGACAUUGACAUGCAAUGGAAAAAAAUCAUUAUUGAAGGAGAUUCUUUAUCAAUAAUAAAAAAGUGUAAGGCGAAAAGCCUAAAUAAGUCUCUGGUAUGUGCUUGUAUUCAUGAUAUUCAUCAUCUAUUGUUAAAAUAUAGGGAAUGUAGAUUUGAAUAUACCCCAUGAAUAGCAAACAAUCUUGCGCAUAUUUUAGCAAAUGAAACGAUGAAGAGUAAGAAGGAAAUUUACCUUAUUGGAAGUGCUCCCGAAUCUGCAGAAAAGCAAGAGGAAAGGGAUAGGAUGAAAGAACCAGAUUGAAUAUGAAAGGAAGAAGAUGAAAUGGGGGGGGGGGGAGUUUGAAAAGGGAUGGCAAUGGAUUAGAUGGAAAAGAGCUUUUCCUUAGGAAUUUGAAAGUGUCUUGAAAAAGAAUGUCAGAUGAAGAGACAAGACGGCGACAAAUCAGUUUCUGAUUGGGCAGAGAAAUAGAGUGGUUAAUGAGGUUCCAGAGACUUCUGAUUUUUAUUUUUGUUUUUGAUUUCCAGGCCAAAUUUUAAUUUUGGGCCUUCUUUUUUGGUUGUUGCUCUUAGGUUUGGUUUUCGUUUCCUCAUUAUUUUAGUGUUGGUUUGCUUGGGCCAAGUCUUAUAUCUGGGCUCCUUUAUGUCUCGUUCUUCUCCUUUAAUUUUUAUACUUAUGUACUAUUGAGUUAUUACAAUAAAGCCC
rnacentral:lncRNA from 1 species